GGCUUAUUGAUUGAAGAUUUUAAGUCUAGCCUGCCCCCUGAUGAAUUUUAAUGGCCGCAGUAUUUUGACUGUGCUAAGGUAGCAUAAUAAUUAGUUUUUUAAUUGAAAGCUAGAAUGAAUGGUAUUAUGAAAAAAUUACUGUCUCUUUUAAAAAAUUAAAAUUUUAUUUUUAAGUUAAAAAGCUUAAAUAUAAUUAAAAGACGAGAAGACCCUAUAGAAUUUUAUUUAAAUUAAUUUUUAGUAAAUUAGUAUAUAAAAUUUAAGAAUAAGUUUAUAUUUAGUUGGGGUGAUUAGAAAAAUUAAGUAUCUUUUUUUUUAUAAUAACAUUAAUUUAUGGUUAUAUGAUUCAUGUUAAUGAUUUAAGAAUAAAUUACCUUAGGGAUAACAGCGUAAUUUUUUUUUAGAGUUCUAAUCAAAAAGAAAGAUUGCGACCUCGAUGUUGGAUUAAAAUUUAUUUUUGGUGUAGUAGCUAAAAUAUUAAGUCUGUUCGACUUUGAAAAUUUUACA
rnacentral:rRNA from 1 species